rfam:Sarcophilus harrisii ctg7180001408006, whole genome shotgun sequence.
GCCGAAAUAGCUCAGUUGGAAGAGCGUUAGAUUGAAGAUCUUGAAGGUCCCCGGUUCAAUUCCGGGUUUCGGCU